rnacentral:rRNA from 1 species
CCUACGGGUGGCAGCAGUGGGGGAUAUUGCACAAUGGGGGAAACCCUGAUGCAGCGACGCCGCGUGUGGGAAGACGGUCCUCUGGAUUGUAAACCACUGUCCCCAGGGACGAAGAUGACGGUACCUGGGGAGGAAGCUCCGGCUAACUACGUGCCAGCAGCCGCGGUAAUACGUAGGGAGCGAGCGUUGUCCGGAAUUACUGGGUGAAAAGGGAGCGUAGGCGGGACUGCAAGUUGGGUGUCAAAUCUACCGGCUCAACCGGUAGCCGCACUCAAAACUGCAGUUCUUGAGUGAAGUAGAGGCAGGCGGAAUGCCUAGUGUAGCGGUGAAAUGCGUAGAUAUUAGGAGGAACACCAGUGGCGAAGGCGGCCUGCUGGGCUUUUACUGACGCUGAGGCUCGAAAGUGUGGGGAGCAAACAGGAUUAGAUACACGAGUAGUA